rnacentral:rRNA from 1 species
GAUGAACGCUGGCGGCGUGCCUAAUACAUGCAAGUCGAGCGAACGGACGAGAAGCUUGCUUCUCUGAUGUUAGCGGCGGACGGGUGAGUAAAACGUGGAUAACCUACCUAUAAGACUGGGAUAACUUCGGGAAACCGGAGCUAAUACCGGAUAAUAUUUUGAACCGCAUGGUUCAAAAGUGAAAGAUGGUCUUGCUGUUACUUAUAGAUGGAUCCGCGCUGCAUUAGCUAGUUGGUAAGGUAACGGCUUACCAAGGCAACGAUGCAUAGCCGACCUGAGAGCGUGAUCGUCCACACUAGAACUGAGACACGGUCCAGACUCCUACGGGAAGCAGCAGUAGGGAAUCUUCCGCAAUGGGCGAAAGCCUCACGGAGCAACGCCGCGUGAGUGAUGAAGGUCUUCGGAUCGUAAAACUCUGUUAUUAGGGAAGAACAUAUGUGUAAGUAACUGUGCACAUCUUGACGGUACCUAAUCAGAAAGCCACGACUAACUACGUG